rnacentral:rRNA from 1 species
AUUGAACGCUGGCGGCAUGCUUUACACAUGCAAGUCGAACGGUAACAGGGUGCUUGCACCGCUGACGAGUGGCGAACGGGUGAGUAAUGCGUCGGAACGUGCCGAGUAGUGGGGGAUAACGCAGCGAAAGUUGUGCUAAUACCGCAUACGUACUGAGGUAGAAAGUGGGGGACCUUCGGGCCUCACGCUAUUCGAGCGGCCGACGUCUGAUUAGCUAGUAGGGGAGGUAAAGGCUCACCUAGGCGACGAGCAGUAGCGGGUCUGAGAGGAUGAUCCGCCACACAGGGACUGAGACACGGCCCAGACUCCUACGGGAGGCAGCAGUGGGGAAUUUUGGACAAUGGGCGAAAGCCUGAUCCAGCAAUGCCGCGUGAGUGAAGAAGGCCUUCGGGUUGUAAAGCUCUUUUGUCAGGGAAGAAACGGCUGGGGCUAAUAUCCUCGGCAAAUGACGGAACCUGAAGAAUAAGCACCGGCUAACUACGUGCCAGCAGCCGCGGUAAUAC